UAGGGAAUACUGCUUAAUGGGCGAAAGCCUGAAGCAGCAACGCCGCGUGUGUGAAGAAGGCCUUCGGGUUGUAAAACACUCUUUGAGGGGAUGAGGAAGGACAGUACCCUCAGAAUAAGCCUCGGCUAACUACGUGCCAGCAGCCGCGGUAAAACGUAGGAGGCGAGCGUUAUCCGGAUUUACUGGGCGUAAAGCGCGUGCAGGCGACACGGCAAGUUGGAUGUGAAAGCUCCCGGCUUAACUGGGAGAGGUCGUUCAAAACUGCCGAGCUAGAGUGCGGGAGAGGGAGGUGGAAUUCCGGGUGUAGUGGUGAAAUGCGUAGAUAUCCGGAGGAACACCAGUGGCGAAAGCGGCCUCCUGGUCCGCAACUGACGCUCAGACGCGAAAGCUAGGGUAGCAAACGG
rnacentral:rRNA from 1 species